rnacentral:lncRNA from 1 species
AAAAAAAGUUUCCCUUUUCGGUAGUUUAUGCAAAGUUAAAUUCCAAAAGGCCUUGAAAACAUUUCAUGCAUUGCAUAGCAUAACAUAGCAUAACAGGUACUCUAAAGGGAUCAGUGUUCUCACGGUUUUCCUCCACACAGAAAAAUGGACCUCGAACAAACUGUCAAGGAUCUCCAUGCUCAGAAUGCUCAACUCCAGGAGAUGAUCUUGAACUUAUCCAGGGGGCAGGAGGAACUGAAAGCUCUCUUGCUCGAGAAAAAGAAAGACAAGAAAGCUGUGAGUUACAUUAACCCGGGAAGAAGG